GAUGAACGCUGGCGGCGUGCCUAAUACAUGCAAGUCGAGCGAACAGACGAGGAGCUUGCUCCUCUGACGUUAGCGGCGGACGUGUGAGUAACACGUGUAUAACCUACCUAUAAUACUGGGAUAACUUCGGGAAACCGGAGCUAAUACCGGAUAAUAUAUUGAACCGCAUGGUUCAAUAGUGAAAGACGGUUUUGCUGUCACUUAUCGAUGGAUCCGCGCCGCAUUAGCUAGUUGGUAAGGUAACGGCUUACCAAGGCAACGAUGCGUAGCCGACCUGAGAGGGUGAUCGGCCACACUGGAACUGAGACACGGUCCAGACUCCUACGGGAGGCAGCAGUAGGGAAUCUUCCGCAAUGGGCGAAAGCCUGACGGAGCAACGCCGCGUGAGUGAUGAAGGUCUUCGGAUCGUAAAACUCUGUUAUUAGGGAAGAACAAAUGUGUAAGUAACUAUGCACGUCUUGACGGUACCUAAUCAGAAAGCCACGGCUAACUACGUG
rnacentral:rRNA from 1 species